GGAAGGAUCAUUAACACGUGUCCCACGUAUCAAACCAAAACCGUGAACUGUGAACGUAUAUCCGGGAUAAGCUAGAUGGCGUGGGCAGUAAAGUCCAGGGAUGAGUCUUACUUUCGGGUGAGUUGUACUCUGGGUUCCCCACAUUUGGCUUAGACCGUUAACCAAAACCAUUAUUCAUUAUUAUUAUCGUCUUAAGAACUGUCGUGCUGACUGAGAGGAUCGCGAAGUAGCUAGCUCUUCGGGGCCGGCCAAAAGCUUUACUUGAAUGUUAGUAAUGAUGUCUUAUUACAAACUAUGUACAACUCUUAGCAACGGAUAUCUUGGUUUCCGCAUCGAUGACGAACGCAGCAAACUGCGAUUACUCUCGCGAAUUGCAGAGCUCAGUGAAUCAUCAAACCUUCGAACGCAACUUGCGCCAUACAGCCCUCACGGGUACGUAUGUGCACGUCCCAUUCAGUGACAUUUAAUGAUCUCAAGAUCAGAAUCGAAAAGCCUCCUGAAGGACAAGCGCUCAACAACGUGAAGAUCAGGAUGGGGGCUUAGUAGAACUAUGACUUGGAUAUAAGCUUUGAGUGUUCACGCUAGAAACCUCUUCGACCUCUUCGGGGGCUGAGGGGGCGCUGUGUGUCACUUUAAAUUCAUUGGCCGUAUGAUGUAGGGAUGAGGUGGAGUCUUUGAUAUCUCGGACUCGUUAGCCUUUGUCUCGGCAUUUGCAUUGCUCAAUGCUGUGCUGCUGACUUAACACUCCGAAACGGAGGGGGCAAUAUACAACUUGUUCUAUAGCUCAGCGCUAAUUUCCAGCGCACUUCCUUUACGGGAAGGUCUUGGGCGGGAUUGAAAAAGGUGCACUCUUAACUUGGUCUCGAUGUCUUAGUCAAUAACUCCUCAACAAGGGAUUAACUUCGGUUAUCUCUCAUUUUAGAUCUGAAUUGGGAUGAGAAGACCCACUAAAUUUAAGCAUAUUAUUCAGUGGAGGAAAAGAAACUAACAAGGAUUCCCCUAGUAACGGCGAGUGAAGCGGGAAAAGGUCAAUUUUAAAAUCCUUAGGUCACAUGGCCUUGGGAGUUGUAAUCUGAAGACGUAUGUUCAGCGUGUGACCCGGGUAUAACUCCUUUGGAAAAGGGAUCAUAGAGGGUGAUAAUCCCGUCUUUGACCUGGAGUUCGCCGCGUACGAUGUGCGUUCUAUGAGUCGAGUUGUUUGGGAUUGCAGCUCUAAAUGGGUGGUAAACUUCAUCUAAACCUAAAUAUUGGCGGAAGACCGAUAGCGAACAAGUAGCGUGAGCGAAAGAUGAAAAGAACUUUGAAAAGAGAGUUAAAAAGUACUUGAAAUUGCUAAGAGGUAAGUUAUGGAAACCAGUCUUUCCUGGGGCUAUACUUUGCGUUUGUCGGAGUGAGGUGGUUUGGAGUGGAGCUCUUUUGGGGCCAGCUUCUUGUCAUCAGAUCUUUGGCAGGCGUGUCCUGUAGUCUUGGGCGUGUCAAAAUCAGUUAGACUUGUCGGAGAAAGCUAGGAGGAAGGUGGGAAAGUUUAGGGUUCGCUUUACUCUUUUCGUUACAGCCUUCUAGUUGAUACGGUGGGUUUGACUGAGGAGAAGAUAAGCCUCCCCUUUAUUGGGAUUGGUACCUAGACCUGCUAUGUUAGCUAGCGUGGACAGCAAAGCUGUGCUGUUGGCGAAACGUGGUACUGUUUGGGGUUCGCCAUUCGAGUGCUUAGCGAUUUUGACGAAAUGGUUUUCAUUGACCCGUCUUGAAACACGGACCAAGGAGUCUAACAUAUAUGCGAGUAUUUGGGUGCUAAACCCUGAUGCGUAAUGAAAGUGAAGGAAGUCUUGUACUUCUGAGGUAGGAACCGUUUCUUCGGAGGCGGGGCACUAUCGACCGAUCGAUCACUUGUGGUAGAUUUGAGUCUGAGCAUAUCUGUUGGGACCCGAAAGAUGGUGAUCUAUGCCUGGGCAGGAUGAAGUCAGGGGAAACUCUGAUGGAAGUCCGCAGCGGUACUGACGUGCAAAUCGUUCGUCUGAUCUGGGUAUAGGGGCGAAAGACUAAUCGAACCAUCUAGUAGCUGGUUCCCUC
rnacentral:misc_RNA from 1 species